rnacentral:tRNA from 1 species
AUGGCUCAGUGGUUAAGAGCACUGUCUGCUCUUCCAGGGGACCUGGGUUCAAUUCCCAGU